rnacentral:misc_RNA from 1 species
UGUGGGAGCGAGCUUGCUCGCGAUGACGUCAUGACUUCAGCAUCAAUGUUGAUUGAGCUAUCGCCAUCGCGAGCAAGCUCGCUCCCACA